ACUUAGCGGCGGACGGGUGAGUAACACGUGGGCAACCUGCCCGUAAGAUCGGGAUAACUGGCGGAAACGUUAGCUAAUACCGGAUAGUCCUCUUGAUCGCCUGGUUGAGAGGGGAAAGACGGAGCAAUCUGUCACUUACGGAUGGGCCCGCGGCGCAUUAGCUAGUUGGUGAGGUAACGGCUCACCAAGGCGACGAUGCGUAGCCGACCUGAGAGGGUGAUCGGCCACACUGGGACUGAGACACGGCCCAGACUCCUACGGGAGGCAGCAGUAGGGAAUCUUCGGCAAUGGACGGAAGUCUGACCGAGCAACGCCGCGUGAGUGAGGAAGGUUUUCGGAUCGUAAAGCUCUGUUGCCAGGGAAGAAGGGUGAGGAGAGUAACUACUCUUUACUUGACGGUACCUGAGAAGAAAGCCCCGGCUAACUACGUGCCAGCAGCCGCGGUAAUACGUAGGGGGCAAGCGUUGUCCGGAAUUAUUGGGCGUAAAGCGCGCGCAGGCGGUACAUUAAGUCUGGUGUUUAAGCCCAGGGCUCAACCUUGGGACGCACUGGAAACUGGUGAACUAGAGUGCAGAAGAGGAAAGUGGAAUUCCACGUGUAGCGGUGAAAUGCGUAGAGAUGUGGGGGGAACACCAGUGGCGAAGGCGACUUUCUGGUCUGUAACUGACACUGAGGCUCGAAAGCGUGGGGAGCAAACAGGAUUAGAUACCCUGGUAGUCCACGCCGUA
rnacentral:rRNA from 1 species